rnacentral:misc_RNA from 1 species
GAUGAAGAACGUAGCGAAAUGCGAUACGUAAUGUGAAUUGCAGAAUUCAGUGAAUCAUCGAAUCUUUGAACGCAUAUUGCGCUCUCUGGUAUUCCGGAGAGCAUGCUUGUUUGAGUAUCAGUAAACACCUCAACUUCCAUAUCUUUUUUGAAAUGGGAGUUGGACUUGAGUGAUCCCAACGCUUUUCCUCACCGAAAAGUGGCGGGUUUCUUGAAAUGCAGGUGCAGCUGGACUUUUCUCUGAGCUAUAAGCAUAUCUAUUUAGUCUGCCUAAAAAACAGAUUAUUACCUUUGCUGCAGCUAACAUAAAGGAGAUUAGUUCUUGUGCUGACUGAUGCAGGAUUCACAAAGACAGGCUUCGGCCGACUUUGUAAACUCGAUCUCAAAUCAAGUAAGACUACCCGCUGAACUUAAGCAUAUCAAUAAGCGGAGGA